UACGUAGGGGGCGAGCGUUGUCCGGAAUUAUUGGGCGUAAAGAGCGUGUAGGCGGUUCGGUAAGUCUGCCGUGAAAACCUGGGGCUCAACCCUGGGCGUGCGGUGGAUACUGCCGGGCUAGAGGGUGGUAGAGGCGAGUGGAAUUCCCGGUGUAGCGGUGAAAUGCGCAGAUAUCGGGAAGAACACCCGUGGCUAAGGCGGCUCUCUAGUACGGUACUGACGCUGAGACGCGAAAGCGUGGGGAGCGAACAGG
rnacentral:rRNA from 1 species